rnacentral:rRNA from 1 species
GAUGAACGCUGGCGGCGUGCCUAAUACAUGCAAGCCGAGCGAAUGGAUUAAGAGCUUGCUCUUAUGAAGUUAGCGGCGGACGGGUGAGUAACACGUGGGUAACCUGCCCAUAAGACUGGGAUAACUCCGGGAAACCGGGGCUAAUACCGGAUAACAUUUUGAACCGCAUGGUUCGAAAUUGAAAGGCGGCUUCGGCUGUCACUUAUGGAUGGACCCGCGUCGCAUUAGCGAGUUGGAGAGGUAACGGCGCACCAAGGCAACGAUGCGUAGCCGACCUGAGAGGGUGAUCGGCCACACUGGGACUGAGACACGGCCCAGACUCCGACGGGAGGCAGCAGUAGGGAAUCUUCCGCAAUGGACGAAAGUCUGACGGAGCAACGCCGCGUGAGUGAUGAAGGCUUUCGGGUCGUAAAACUCCGUUGUUAGGGAAGAACAAGUGCUAGUUGAAUGAGCUGGCACCUUGACGGUACCUAACCAGAAAGCCACGGCUAACUACGUGCCAGCAGCCGCCGUAA